UACAGAGGGUGCAAGCGUUAAUCGGAAUUACUGGGCGUAAAGCGUGCGUAGACGGUUAUGUAAGUCGGGUGUGAAAGCCCCGGGCUCAACCUGGGAAUUGCAUUCGAGACUGUGUAGCUAGGGUACGGAAGAGGGAAGCGGAAUUUCAGGUGUAGCGGUGAAAUGCGUAGAUAUCUGGAGGAAUACCGGUGGCGAAGGCGGCAUCCUGGACCGGCAUUGACGCUGAGGAGCGAAAGCUAGGGGAGCAAACGGG
rnacentral:rRNA from 1 species